rnacentral:rRNA from 1 species
GAUGAACGCUGGCGGCGUGCCUAAUACAUGCAAGUCGAGCGAACGGACGAGAAGCUUGCUUCUCUGAUGUUAGCGGCGGACGGGUGAGUAACACGUGGAUAACCUACCUAUAAGACUGGGAUAACUUCGGGAAACCGGAGCUAAUACCGGAUAAUAUUUUGAACCGCAUGGUUCAAAAGUGAAAGACGGUCUUGCUGUCACUUAUAGAUGGAUCCGCGCUGCAUUAGCUAGUUGGUAAGGUAACGGCUUACCAAGGCAACGAUGCAUAGCCGACCUGAGAGGGUGAUCGGCCACACUGGAACUGAGACACGGUCCAGACUCCUACGGGAGGCAGCAGUAGGGAAUCUUCCGCAAUGGGCGAAAGCCUGACGGAGCAACGCCGCGUGAGUGAUGAAGGUCUUCGGAUCGUAAAACUCUGUUAUUAGGGAAGAACAUAUGUGUAAGUAACUGUGCACAUCUUGACGGUACCUAAUCAGAAAGCCACGGCUAACUACGUGCCAGCAGCCGCGGUAAUACGUAGGUGGCAAGCGUUAUCCGGAAUUAUUGGGCGUAAAGCGCGCGUAGGCGGUUUUUUAAGUCUGAUGUGAAAGCCCACGGCUCAACCGUGGAGGGUCAUUGGAAACUGGAAAACUUGAGUGCAGAAGAGGAAAGUGGAAUUCCAUGUGUAGCGGUGAAAUGCGCAGAGAUAUGGAGGAACACCAGUGGCGAAGGCGACUUUCUGGUCUGUAACUGACGCUGAUGUGCGAAAGCGUGGGGAUCAAACAGGAUUAGAUACCCUGGUAGUCCACGCCGUAAACGAUGAGUGCUAAGUGUUAGGGGGUUUCCGCCCCUUAGUGCUGCAGCUAACGCAUUAAGCACUCCGCCUGGGGAGUACGACCGCAAAGUUGAAACUCAAAGGAAUUGACGGGGACCCGCACAAGCGGUGGAGCAUGUGGUUUAAUUCGAAGCAACGCGAAGAACCUUACCAAAUCUUGACAUCCUUUGACAACUCUAGAGAUAGAGCUUUCCCCUUCGGGGGACAAAGUGACAGGUGGUGCAUGGUUGUCGUCAGCUCGUGUCGUGAGAUGUUGGGUUAAGUCCCGCAACGAGCGCAACCCUUAAGCUUAGUUGCCAUCAUUAAGUUGGGCACUCUAAGUUGACUGCCGGUGACAAACCGGAGGAAGGUGGGGAUGACGUCAAAUCAUCAUGCCCCUUAUGAUUUGGGCUACACACGUGCUACAAUGGACAAUACAAAGGGCAGCGAAACCGUGAGGUCAAGCAAAUCCCAUAAAGUUGUUCUCAGUUCGGAUUGUAGUCUGCAACUCGACUACAUGAAGCUGGAAUCGCUAGUAAUCGUAGAUCAGCAUGCUACGGUGAAUACGUUCCCGGGUCU